GCACUUGUGGCUGAGAGGUCGAAAGCACUGGACUCAUAAUCCAUAUUCUUUUUAAGAACAUCGAUGGUUCAAACCCAUCCAGGUGCA
rnacentral:tRNA from 1 species